rnacentral:rRNA from 1 species
ACGUAAACAACCUGCCUUCAGGAUGGGGACAACAGACGGAAACGACUGCUAAUACCGAAUAAGUUCCAAGAGCCGCAUGGCCCAUGGAAGAAAAGGUGGCCUCUACCUGUAAGCUAUCGCCUGAAGAGGGGUUUGCGUCUGAUUAGCUGGUUGGAGGGGUAACGGCCCACCAAGGCGACGAUCAGUAGCCGGUCUGAGAGGAUGGACGGCCACACUGGAACUGAGACACGGUCCAGACUCCUACGGGAGGCAGCAUG